UGUGUGUGUGUGUGUGUGUGUGUGUGUGUGUAAAGGGUUUCGUUUGAUGAUAAUGUUGGUAGUAGUUUCACAUCAGUCAUUGUUAUCAGUCACUGACUGAUCAUUUGCUUGUUUGUUUGUUGGUGUGUCUGUGUUUGAAUUCCUUUUGAAUUCCCGCCACCAAAGCAACGUAGGUGACCCACUCAGCUUGGACAGUCACUUAGCUCUGGUCUUCUCGCCUAUUCACACUCAUCCUCCAUAGGUGAAUGCUGACUUAAGCUGUAAAUCUGCUUGUCUGACAUUGCUGUUAUAAUUGACCAGAGUUGUACUCUGGCGCCCAGCCUUUGGCUCCACAACCCCUGGUUCCACAAUUUCUGGCAUCACAACCUGAUUAUCAACAAAUACCGCCUGCUUCACGUCACACAAGACUGCCUUAUUUAUAUUGUUUGUGCUGUGCUUUUAUUGUUGUUGUUGUAAAUAAGUGUAAAUAUAUGUGGUUUGGAUAUGA
rnacentral:lncRNA from 1 species